GGGAGCGGUGUGAAUCGAGAGGUUCACGCACCGUUCUGCGAGAGGCCGGGGGUGAAAUUCCUCCGGCCUACUCACC
rnacentral:ncRNA from 1 species